AUUAUUGUAGGAUAACAAAGGAUGGGAGAUGGAUAUGUAGGAAAGGAUGGAGUUUGGCUUUCUACUGCAUCUCUGGUUCUGAUUGUCUGCUUAUGGUUUGAGAUGAAGAAGAACAUGAUUGGGAACAGGUCGAGAAGAAACUUGCUUGUGGUUAAGUUGAGGAACUCAUUGAAGAAGCUCGGGAUGAACUCACUCUCAUUUCUAAGAUGACUACUACAAUUUGAGGAUUCACUGAUGUUUGCCUUUUCAAGUAAAGAAAGGAUUUAAAG